rnacentral:rRNA from 1 species
UGUUCCUACGGGGGGCAGCAGUGGGGAAUAUUGCACAAUGGGGGAAACCCUGAUGCAGCGACGCCGCGUGAGUGAAGAAGUAUUUCGGUAUGUAAAGCUCUAUCAGCAGGGAAGAAAAAAGACGGUACCUGACUAAGAAGCCCCGGCUAACUACGUGCCAGCAGCCGCGGUAAUACGUAGGGGGCAAGCGUUAUCCGGAUUUAUUGGGUGUAAAGGGUGCGUAGACGGGAAUACAAGUUGGUUGUGAAAGCCCUCGGCUUAACUGAGGAACUGCAACCAAAACUAUAUUUCUUGAGUAUCGGAGG